rnacentral:lncRNA from 1 species
GCUAGUAGCUAAGCAAAGAUCUAGCAAAAAAAACCCUAAAAGAGCUUUCUUCUGAUGGGCAGCAUACCAUUCACAUGCUACCAAAUAUCUGUGUGCUGUGAAAAGAUGUGGUAUUUGGUGAACAACUUAAAAAGCUGGGGCUAAAGCUAUGUUGAAGGUUUAACUGACCAGGUCAUCAGUAAGUUACCAUAAUUCAAAAUAUCCCUGUCAAGGUGCUAGGAAUUGCCUUUCAUCAUUUGUAUCAGAUUGUAUAAUCAAUAAGGACAGAUAACGACUUUCAAUGUUAUUUUAAAACUAUUGUGUAUAUAUAUAUUCCUAACCUCCUUUUUCCAUUUGCAGGUAUUGGGCUCAGAGUAACUAAGGAUCCUGAAAUCACAGACAAUAGGAUAAAUGCAUAACUAAAUGUUGCCGUGAAAGCUUCCAGAAACAAUAUGAUUUUUCUGGCAGUUACAAGGGAACAGAUGGACAAAAUCUUGGAAAAAGGAAGAGAGAAGCAAGAUGUAAUUCUAUGUUGUAAAAUUCCUUUCCCACUUCCAGAAGUGACUAAUGCUCUCCACUUGGUGCUAUUGUACAACAGAGACAAAAGGUCUCCAGAGAGACUCAGCUGUGAAGCCAAUUUUGCUGUGCAGGCUGGAGUAAGCCACCCAUCAUCUGUGUCAGCAAAGUGGGGACUCCUGUAUUCCGAGAUCCCUGGAUGAAGAUCAUCACUCAAUACCAAAUUCUUUGCAGCUCCAUUUCACCAUCUGACUUCUACAGCAGCCAGUGCUCUAUAUAGAAAUGUCAUUUGCUUCAUCUCACAAAACCACUGAUGAGCUGUUACAGGCCCAGAUGUCAAGCUUUACAGCAGGGGAAAAAAAUAAAAAUUAAGGUAUCUGUGGUAGUUUUGUAUCU